rnacentral:rRNA from 1 species
UACGUAGGGUGCAAGCGUUAAUCGGAAUUACUGGGCGUAAAGCGUGCGCAGGCGGUGAUGUAAGACAGGUGUGAAAUCCCCGGGCUCAACUUGGGAACUGCAUUUGUGACUGCAUCGCUGGAGUGCGGCAGAGGGGGAUGGAAUUCCGCGUGUAGCAGUGAAAUGCGUAGAUAUGCGGAGGAACACCGAUGGCGAAGGCAAUCCCCUGGGCCUGCACUGACGCUCAUGCACGAAAGCGUGGGGAGCAAACCGG